UCUACCUUCAUUUCGCCUCCCCUGUUUGCAAAUAAAUGAAUUUGAAACCUUCAUUUUCAUCUACCUUUCAUCUUCUCCAUUUUCUAUGCUACGAUCCCAUCAUUUCGCCUCUCCUCCUCUUCAAAGGUUUUCAACUAUUCCUAACUACAAAACUGGUUAUGAGAAUAAUUCAUGCCAUUCUCUUUGAUGGAACUGUUGUCACAGAUGUUGAGAUGGUUGCUCGAAAUCAAAACUGAAUGGCCUUGGGCAAACAGGCUCCACGUUGAUGUCGUGAAAAGGUGCCAAGUACGGUGAAAGCAUGGUCACCAACAGCAAAGAGCAUGGGCACCAGCAUGGGAUGCACCUACUGUUAAGGCAGAUAAGGACCGUUGCAUGCGUAGCAAGGAGAUGAAGAUUGUUAAAAUAUUAUUAUAUUAUGAAAUUAAGGAAAAAAUAAUCAUAUAAUAUUUCAAAGAGAAUAACAAACAAUUUAAAAGAACAAAUACUAAAAUCAUAAGAUUUUUAAUAUGAAAGGUUAAAUAUAUUUUAUUAUUU